CAGCAGCCGCGGGAAUACGAAGGGUGCAAGCGCUAAUCGGAAUUACUGGGCGUAAAGCGUGCGUAGGCGGUGAGGUAAGUCUGCUGUGAAAUCCCCGGGCUCAACCUGGGAAUGGCAGUGGAUACUGGCUCGCUAGAGUGUGUCAGAGGAUGGUGGAAUUCCCGGUGUAGCGGUGAAAUGCGUAGAGAUCGGGAGGAACAUCAGUGGCGAAGGCGGCCAUCUGGGACAACACUGACGCUGAGGCACGAAAGCGUGGGGAGCAAACAGGAUUAGAUACCCCAGUAGUCCCUGUCUCUUAUAC
rnacentral:rRNA from 1 species